GAUGAACGCUAGCUACAGGCUUAACACAUGCAAGUCGAGGGACCGGCGCACGGGUGAGUAACACGUAUCCAACCUGCUCUUUACUCGGUGAUAGCCUUUCGAAAGAAAGAUUAAUACUCGAUAUAAAGGAUGGGGAUGGGUUCGCUUAUGUGGUUGGUAAGGUAACGGCUCACCAAGCCUUCGAUGGAUAGGGGUUCUGAGAGGAAGGUCCCCCACAUUUGAACGGAGACACGGUCCAAACUGGUACGGGAGGCAGGAGUGUGGAAUAGUGGGCAAUGGGCGGUAGCCUGACACAGCCAAGUAGCGUGAAGGAUGAAUGCUUAUGGGACGUAAACUUCUUUUAUAUAAGAAUAUGUAUUAUAUGAAUAAGGAUCGGCUAACUCCGUGCCAGCAGCCGCGGUAAUUC
rnacentral:rRNA from 1 species